rnacentral:rRNA from 1 species
UACGUAGGGUGCAAGCGUUGUCCGGAAUUAUUGGGCGUAAAGAGCUCGUAGGCGGUUUGUCGCGUCUGCUGUGAAAACCCGAGGCUCAACCUCGGGCCUGCAGUGGGUACGGGCAGGCUCGAGUUCGGUAGGGGAGACUGGAAUUCCUGGUGUAGCGGUGAAAUGCGCAGAUAUCAGGAGGAACACCGGUGGCGAAGGCGGGUCUCUGGGCCGAUACUGACGCUGAGGAGCGAAAGCGUGGGGAGCGAACAGG